rnacentral:sRNA from 1 species
GAAGACAUCCAAGCCCUAUCACAAAACAACCGUAACUCCCCAUACGUGAUGUGCUCGGUGCUGAAACUAAUGCGUGAUCAUUACGGAGGAAUCCCGGAAGAUCUCAUUCGACACUUCCUUCUCGAAUCGGCCGAUCCUGCUCCAAAACUGAUUUGCAUGAAGUACCUAAGCAACCCGGACUUUUUCGAUUCGCUGUCUGCAGAGGAGCUGGAGAAAUAUCUCGACGCUGGGCUGUCCGAUGAUGGAAUGGAGAUGCGACAGGAGGCGAUAAAGCUCGCAGAAAAAGCUCUCGGAAAGGCUCAGCUCAAGGAUCGGGUGAUCGAUGUGAUCACAGAGUAUAAAAAU